rnacentral:lncRNA from 1 species
AUAUCAAUCCUAAUCUAACUCGAAUUGAAUCAAUUCAGUUAGACUUGUUCCAAAGCUCUUUAUUCAAUAAAAUUGAGUUAAUUAGUAAUCUAAUUAUUAAUUAAUUUUCCAUGAAUGGUAGAGUCCCAGUCCCAGUGGGACUCUCCCAUAGAGUUCUAGUCCAAAUAGGACUCUUCACCAGAAUCAUAAUUCAAUUGGACUAUUUCAGCCAUC